rnacentral:rRNA from 1 species
GCGUGCCUUAGACAUGCAAGUCGAGCGGCAGACUCCCUUUCGGGGGGUCGAGAGCGGCGAACGGCGGAGUAACACGUGGGUAACCUGCCCCGAAGACUGGGACAACCCGGGGAAACUCGGGCUAAUACCGGAUGUGGAUGCUUUGGCUUCGGCUGAGGCAUCUAAAUGGGUUUCCGCUUCGGGAUGGGCCCGCGGCCUAUCAGGUAGUUGGUGAGGUAAUGGCUCACCAAGCCUGCGACGGGUAGCCGGUCUGAGAGGAUGAUCGGCCCGAGGGGCACUGAGACACGGGCCCCACUCCUACGGGAGGCAGCAGUCGGGAAUUUUGGGCAAUGGGCGCAAGCCUGACCCAGCGACGCCGCGUGGAGGACGAAGCCCUUCGGGGUGUAAACUCCUUUAAGCAGGGACGAACGCAGACGGUACCUGCAGAAUAAGCCCCGGCUAACUACGUGCCAGCAGCCGCGGUAAUACGUAGGGGGCGAGCGUUGCCCGAAUUUACUGGGCGUAAAGCGCACGUAGGCGGCUCCGUAAGUCUGGUGUGAAAUCUCACGGCUCAACCGGGAGGCUGCACCGGAUACUGCGGAGCUCGAGGACGGGAGAGGAGAUUGGAAUUCCCGGUGUAGCGGUGAAAUGCAUUGAUAUCGGGAGGAACACCAGUGGCGAAGGCGGAUCUCUGGCCCGUUGCUGACGCUGAGGUGCGAAAGCUGGGGGAGCGAAAGGGAUUAGAUACCCCUGUAGUCCCAGCCCUAAACGAUGGGCGCUAGAUGUUGGGGGAUUACCCCUCGGCGCCGCAGCUAACGCAUUAAGCGCCCCGCCUGGGGAGUACGGCCGCAAGGUUGAAACUCAAAUGAAUUGACGGGG